AGCGGCGCAAGGGAGAGUAACGCGUGGAUAUCUGCCCUCGGCUCCAGAAUAGCUACGGGAAACUGUAGGUAAUGCUGGAUAAUAUCUCCGGAUCAAAGGUGUGAUUCCGGCCGAGGAUGAGUCCGCGUCCUAUUAGAUUGUUGGUGGGGUAAUAGCCUACCAAGUCGAAGAUGGGUACCGGGUGUGAGAGCAUGGCCCGGCUCACUGGGACUGAGACACUGCCCAGACGUCUACGGACGGCUGCAGUCGAGAAUCUUCCGCAAUGGGCGCAAGCCUGACGGAGCGACGCCGCGUGCGGGAUGAAGGCCUUCGGGUUGUAAACCGCUGUCAGUUGGGAGGAAAUGCUAUGGGGUUCUCUCCAUAGUUUGACCGAUCUUCAGAGGAAGUACGGGCUAGGUACGUGCCAGCAGCCGCGGUAACACGUACCGUACGAACGUUAUUCGGAAUCACUGGGCUUAAAGAGUCCGUAGGCGGCUAUGUAGGUCAGGUGUGAAAUUCCACGGCUCAACCGUGGAACUGCGCUUGAAACCAUAUGGCUAGAGGGAGAUAGAGGAAAGCGGAACUGAUGGUGGAGCGGUGAAAUGCGUUGAUAUCAUCAGGAACACCGGUGGCGAAAGCGGCUUUCUGGGUCUCUUCUGACGCUGAGGGACGAGAGCUAGGGGAGCGAACGGGAUUAGAUACCCCGGUAGUCCUAGCUGUAAACGAUGAGCACUAGUUCGAGGGGACCCCCACAUCCUCUUGGACGUAGCGAAAGUGUUAAGUGCUCCGCCUGGGGAGUAUGGUCGCAAG
rnacentral:rRNA from 1 species